CCCAUUAUAAGGCUCAUCA
rnacentral:snRNA from 1 species